rnacentral:rRNA from 1 species
UACAGAGGUCCCAAGCGUUGUUCGGAUUCACUGGGCGUAAAGGGUGCGUAGGUGGUGAGGUAAGUCGGAUGUGAAAGCUCGGAGCUCAACUCCGAAAUGGCAUUGGAAACUACCUUGCUCGAGGGUUGGAGGGGGGACUGGAAUACUUGGUGUAGCAGUGAAGUGCGUAGAUAUCAAGUGGAACACCAGUGGCGAAGGCGAGUCCCUGGACAACUCCUGACACUGAGGCACGAAAGCUAGGGGAGCAAACAGGAUUGAGAUACCCGUAGUAG